ACGGGUGAGUAAUAUGUUGGUAUCUGCCCUUAAGUCAGGAAUACCCCACUGAAAAGUGGAUUAAUGCCGGAUAGUCUCUACGGAGUAAAAAUUUAUUGCUUAAGGAGGAGCCUUCAUUCUAUCAGUUAGUUGGUGAGGUAAUGGCUUACCAAGACUAUGACAGAUAGCUGGUCUGAGAGGAUGAUCAGCCACAAUGGAACUGAGACACGGUCCAUACUCUUACGGGAGGCAGCAGUGAGGAAUCUUCCACAAUGGGCGAAAGCCUGAUGGAGCGACACCGCGUGAAGGAUGAAGGUCUAACGACUGUAAACUUCUUUUCUGAGGGAGCAUAAUGAGAGUACCUCAUGAAUAAGCACCGGCAAAACUCGUGCCAGCAGCCGCGGUAAUACGAGUGGUGCAAGCGUUACCCGGAAUUACUGGGUGUAAAGCGUUCGCAGGCGGAAAAAUAAGUCAGAUAUGAAAGACCGGAGCUCAACUCCGUGUUUGUAUUUGAAACUAUUUAUCUAGAAUUAGGGAGAGGUAAGCGGAAUUCUAAGUGUAGGGGUGCAAUCCGUAGA
rnacentral:rRNA from 1 species